rnacentral:lncRNA from 1 species
UAAGUAGUUACAGAAUAGAACUAGUGCCACCGAGCCUGAUGCCGGGUAUGACCUGAAGUCCUAUAUUGGUACUAAGUAAAGAAUAGAACAGGUAAGGACAAGAAUGCAACCGGGGAGUCCAAGCCUGAUAGUCGCUAGUAAGCCUACCAAUCAUUAGUCAAAGAAUGGCACUGAUGGGAGUAAGACUGGCCAAGCAACUACUAACGACCAAUUUCAAUACUAUUGAAGCGUCAAAAGCAUGAUGAAGAGACUAAGAAUCUUCGGUUAGCUAACAAUAAGAAAGAGGAGCGUAGCAGCUCGAAGGAGGAGAAGAAAGAGGAGCGUAGCAGCUCGAAGGAGGAGCGAAAGCAGUUCGACAUCAAGGAUAAGAGUCAAGCUAAGAAAGAAUCCGAAUAUGUUCAGACUAUUGCUAGUCGUCUUCAGUGAUAUAUUGAAAAACAGCGUUCAGAGAUAUUCAAUCGAUGUCUUCUUAUAAGCUUCCUGAGGAAUAAGUUAGAAGCACUCUGACUAAAUAAUCAAUGGUACCCCAACCUAUUCUGGGCAAUAACCCUAACAAGACUCACAAAGGUAAGAAGAACAGAAACCUAACAAAAAACAGAAAGUGCAAAAAGAAAGAAUAAGAAAAAAACGAAAGAUGAAGCUAUCCACCUAAGACGAGCCUACUAAGAAAAGAAGCUAUCAACCUAAGACGAGCCUACUAAGAAAAGAAAGAAGACUCAAAAGAAAAGGUCAAGGUGCCAAGAAAGUAACCUGCUCAAUAGAAUCCUGCCUAUCCCGAUCAUGACGUAGUAAAAAAAGAGAGAAGAGUGAGAAUACUGGAUUUCUUUCCCACUCCUAUUGCUCCUAGUGGUAGCUUGGUGGUAGUGCUCUGAAAAUGAAUAUAGUUGACUUACCCACUGGACUACUAGACUCAACUAGCCCCCCUGAAAGUAUAUACUAAACAUGGUACUACUAAACAAGGUACUCUUGCGUAAGAAAGGAAUUCCACUAACAAGUCAUAAAGUAAGUCAGAUCUGAUGCUGCCGAGCCUGGGGAACAAGAAUGGCUCUGUUGUGCAGCGAUGGGGAACUCU